AACGAACGCUGGCGGCAUGCCUAACACAUGCAAGUCGAACGAGACCUUCGGGACAAGUUGCUCACAGGUGCGUAACGCGGGGGAACCUGCCCUUAGAUUCGGGAUAACUCCUCGUAAUGGGGGCUAAUACCGGGUAAUGUCCUCUGAUCAAAGAUCUAUCGUCUUUGUGUAAGCCCGCGUUGUCUUAACUAGGUGCUAUGGUAAAAGCCUACCAAGGCUACGAUCCAUAGCUGGUCUGAGAGAAUCAUCAGCCACACUUGGACUGAGACACGGCACAGACUCCUACGGGAGGCAGCAGUGGGUAAUAUUGGCCAAUGGGCGAAAUCCUGAUCCAGCAAUGCCGCGUGAGUGAUGAAGGCCUUAGGGUUGUAAAGCUCUUUUACCCGGGAUGAUAAUGACAGUACCGAGAGAAUAAGCUCCGGCUAACUCCGUG
rnacentral:rRNA from 1 species